GACGAACGCUGGCGGCGUGCUUAACACAUGCAAGUCGAACGGAAAGGCCCUGCUUUUGUGGGGUGCUCGAGUGGCGAACGGGUGAGUAACACGUGAGUAACCUGCCCUUGACUUUGGGAUAACUUCAGGAAACUGGGGCUAAUACCGGAUAGGAGCUCCUGCUGCAUGGUGGGGGUUGGAAAGUUUCGGCGGUUGGGGAUGGACUCGCGGCUUAUCAGCUUGUUGGUGGGGUAGUGGCUUACCAAGGCUUUGACGGGUAGCCGGCCUGAGAGGGUGACUGGCCACAUUGGGACUGAGAUACGGCCCAGACUCCUACGGGAGGCAGCAGUGGGGAAUAUUGCACAAUGGGCGGAAGCCUGAUGCAGCAACGCCGCGUGCGGGAUGACGGCCUUCGGGUUGUAAACCGCUUUCGCCUGUGACGAAGCGUGAGUGACGGUAAUGGGUAAAGAAGCACCGGCUAACUACGU
rnacentral:rRNA from 1 species